UCCGGAGGGUGCAAGCGUUAUCCGGAUUUAUUGGGUUUAAAGGGUGCGCAGGCGGACCUGUCAGUCAGUGGUGCAAUCCCGGGGCUCAACCCCGGAACUGCCAUUGAUACUACAGGUCUUGAAUACGGUUGAAGUAGGCGGAAUGUAGCAUGUAGCGGUGAAAUGCAUAGAUAUGCUACAGAACACCGAUCGCGAAGGCAGCUUACUAAGCCGAUAUUGACGCUCAGGCACGAAAGCGUGGGGAGCGAACAGGAUUAGAAACCCUUGUAGUCC
rnacentral:rRNA from 1 species